UGGCAAGAUGUUGGCAUAGCUGAA
rnacentral:miRNA from 1 species